rnacentral:rRNA from 1 species
CUACGGGGGGCACCAGUGGGGAAUAUUGCACAAUGGGCGCAAGCCUGAUGCAGCAACGCCGUGUGAGUGAUGAAGGUCUUCGGAUUGUAAACCUCUGUCCUAUGGGAAGAAAAAAAUGACGGUACCAUAGGAGGAAGCCCCGGCUAACUACGUGCCAGCAGCCGCGGUAAUACGUAGGGGGCAAGCGUUAUCCGGAAUCACUGGGCGUAAAGGGUGCGUAGGCGGCCUAUCAAGUCAGAGGUGAAAGGCAUUGGCUCAACCAAUGUAAGCCUUUGAAACUGUUAGGCUUGAGUGCAGGAGAGGUAAGUGGAAUUCCUAGUGUAGAGGUGAAAUUCGUAGAUAUUAGGAGGAACACCAGUGGCGAAGGCGACUUACUGGACUGUAACUGACGCUGAGGCACGAAAGCGUGGGGAGCGAACAGGAUUAGAUACCCUGGUAGUC